rnacentral:tRNA from 1 species
GCCCACUUGGCUCAGUGGUAAAAGCGUGUCCAGAGUACCGUCCCCUAUGAAUACCUCCCAGUAUCCCUAGCUCAGUAUCUCUAAGGGCAAGAUCAUCAGUUCGAAUCUGAUAGUGGGUA